rnacentral:rRNA from 1 species
AAGAUCACUUUCAACAACGGAUCUCUUGGUUCUCGCAUCGAUGAAGAACGUAGCGAAGUGCGAUAAGUAAUGUGAAUUGCAGAAUUCCGUGAAUCAUCGAAUCUUUGAACGCAAAUUGCACUCUCUUCGGAGAGUAUGCCUGUUUGAGGGUCAUUU